rnacentral:lncRNA from 1 species
AUAAACCAAUGUGCGAGACAGGUAAACCUGAACUAUUACAAUAACCACCUCAUCUAUCCUAGAAUAGUCUAGAUUAAUUGAUAGAUUGGACAAAUAUAUAGUCAUAUCAUAUUAUGAGAGGCAGCAAAGUCAACUAGUCAUUUUGUGUCUUUGCAUUUUACUGAGGUUGCACAGUUUGCAAAAACUUCCUGAGUGGAUUCGUUUCAGUUUGAACGCUUCAAAGGUGCGGUACAUUUUUUGUUUUUUGUAAUUAAUUAAAGAAAUUUUUUCCUGAAGAAGAAAGUUGAAAAAAUGAAAAGGGCUAGAGUUAAUAAGACUAAACAUUUGGUGGUAUUGCGAUAAAGACAUCGAUUAUUUGAUUUAUGUUUGACUAAAUGUCGCCAGUCGGCAACAGGCCAAGUUUUUGUCUACAGAUGCCAUAGCACAAAAGUUGUUUUUUUGCAACAUUGGAUUAAGGCAGUGAGUUACUCUUGUUGGGGCUGGAGUUCAAAAUAUCUAUUGUUAAAUGCACGUUAUGUACUGUUGCUAUUGGAUACCAUAUAUUUUAUUUGAUAAUGACUCUGUUUAUAAGAAUUUUAUGAAGUUGGAUUUGAUUCUUAUCCUCAUUAUCUAGAAUGAUCCAAGGCACCGAUAUGGGCACAACUUGCAUCUUUAUUAUGAAGAUUGGUAUAAGACUAAUACUGGUUAGCCUUUCUUUUACUGGUGAGUGGUGAGAAAACUCUGAAUUAAUUUGAUGCCAUAAAUUUCUACUUUUGAGUGUGUUUUUGGUAGUUUUAGCCCCCGUUUGAGCCCCAUUAUUCCUCAUUACAUUAAAUUAAAUUUUUCUCUCUCCUACUUUUAAACACACAAUCUUCAAUAAAAUAAUAUUACACGUAAAUCAAAAACUUUUCAACCACUUAUUUUUCAAAAAAAUACUAUUCAUCUCAUUAUAAUCUAGGAAUAAUGGGGCUCAAACGGGGGCAGUGCAUUUACAUAUAUAUUAAUUUUUUUAUAUUAUUUGAUUAUAUAUUGACAAAUGAUCCCAUUAUUACGAUAAUUGAUUGUCGACGGUUAACUUCCGUUCUAGUUGACCUUCGAUCUUGGAUUCGCCACUAAUGACCGUAUUGAAAUUCUUUUAUUACCUGGUAGUUCUUUUGUAAUUCUUCUUAAUUUCUGAUUUGGUAUUGAGAAGUGGAUGCAUAGUGGGGUAGGAGGUGAUAAAGACAAGUAUUUAUGUAGUGAAUCUCACUUAAUUCUGGAAUGGAACCUGCUGCAUGUGCAUGCUCUAUUUUCACAGGGCCUGUAUAGACAACACACAAUACAUGGGGGGGGGGUAAUUUUUUUUUUUUUUUAAAACCCCUCACUCCUCCAACCAGCAUGUGAGGGGCCUGUGCAGCAAGCAAAAUCCUUCUGAAAUUAUGGUAAAAAUUAAUUGGCCAAAGAUAAUUUUACAUUACCUUUUGCAACCCAAUUACUGUAUCAGAUAUUCUUACAAUUAUAUCAUAUGCCAACUCUAAAUUGUUCGGCCAUAAAAUCUAAUUAUUUUAUUAAUAUUAUCCUUUGUUAUUUCAUUAUUUGAUUAAAUGAUUUAUUAUUAAUAUCUACUAAUUUAUUAUUAAUAUUAUUCUUCGUUAUUUCAUUAUUUGAUUUAUUUAUUUACUAUUAUUUCCUCGAUAUGUUACAUAUGAGUUUUUCAUAGAUCUGGGGAGCAGCAUUAAUGGCGAUGAGUUGCUUUUCCGUGGAGAAAGAGAUGUUAGUGGAAAUAAUGGAGGGAGACUCAAAAGCGAAAGACAAGGCUCAGAAAAUAGUCUCGUUAGAGGUUGGCUCGAGAUGCCAUGUAAAGUAAUAUACACCAUUGUGACUACAACUUCGCACACAUUUCAUUCCAGCAGUGAUUGUGUUUAUAUAAAGCUAAUAGUUUAGUCUAAACACAGUAAUUGACUAAUUACAGUGCUACAGAUAUAAUCCAUGAUUUCAGCCAUUGAAGCCUUGAUUUGUGAGCAACAAUCAUGCAUUGACUUGUCUGUUGGUUGGCAUUUCUUGAUUUGUAUUUUCCUUAAUAGUAUAGCAUGAUUUGUGGUAUCUCCCUUCCAAUCAUGCUAUAUCGCCAGACUCAGUGACAGAAUUAUUUCUUCCAGACUACACUUGAUUGAUUUUCAUUGAAAGUUGGAAAAACAAAAC